rnacentral:lncRNA from 1 species
AUGUAUUUGUUUGAAAGGCAGAGAGAAAGAGACAGGGCAAGCACUCCGAUCCACUGGUUCACUCCCCAAACGCCCACGACGGCCGGGGUCGCGCUGGGGCAGAGCCGUGAGCUGGGGACUCAGUCCAGGACUCCCAUGUGGGUGGCGGGACCCGAGCACUUGGGCCGUCACUGCCGCCUCCCAGGGCCCGCGCUGGCAGGGAGCGGGUGCGGGAGUCAGAACUGGGUCCCGAAGCCAGGAACUCCGACACGGGACGCAGGCUCUGGGCCAAACGGCCGCCUGUGCGUGACCUGCCCUGGCCUUGUCCCUGUGUCACCCUGUUUUACUCGCUGUAGCUUUCCCGUAUGCUCGGACAGCCCGUUUCAGCCGCUGGCGUGGCGUCCGGCCGGCCCUCCCUCCCCCCGGGUUGCUGGAAGAACUCCACCGCGCGGCCUCCCGGCCCCGGGAGCAGCCGUCGCGGGCUUUCCUCAGGUCCCCUGGCGCCGGCAGCUCCUUUCCGGCUCACUCCUCACCACCUGCGGGAGCACCUGGCUGAGCGCGCAGAGCAGGGCACCGCUCACACCUACGUGGGCCGCGCCACUGUGGCGUGGAGUGGGCGAGGCCGCCGUGAAGACGGGCCAUGUCCAUGACGUACGGAAGGCAGAAGGCGAUCCUGAGAGCGCCGAGCGAGGUGACAUCGGCUCCUCGGCAGGAGGGUGCAGGCUACAGGUACAUGACGCCUCUCCUUUCACUGGAAAGGCAGAGACACACACACACACAGAGAGAGAGAGAGACAGAGAGAGAAAGAGACAGAGAGAGAAUGCUCCCAGGUCCACUUCCCUUUGGGCCGGCCAAAGCCAGCAGCCGGGACCUCAACCCUGGUCCCCACAUGGGCUGCAGGAACCCAGAUGCCCGAGCCGUCUCUGCUGCCCUCCGGGGUGCGUGCUAGCAGGAAGCCGGAACCGGGACCAGGGCCAGGACCGGAACCCAGGCGCUGGCACCGAAUGCGCGUCCCAAGCGCUGUCUCCAUCUCUCGGUGAUGUCCUGUGCAGAGCAGGCGGUGGGGCUUUUACAACCUUGAUAAGCCUGACAGGGUGGGAGCGGAAUGGAAGGCAGAUUAAUCAACCAAGAAGAGGAAGAUGCCGAGAGGUUUCUAUGCCGAGAGGUUUCUAUGCCGCCUCCAGAGGCGAGCCUGGGAGGCCCACGCAGGCGAACAGGUGGGCACUGAGGGCUGGGUUUGCACCCUGA